rnacentral:rRNA from 1 species
AUGCUGCUGGUCAGCCAGGCCGCCAACGGCUCCCUCUCCGCGCGGCGGCUGCCCUCCAAGCCGCUCGCCAGCCGCCGGGGCGCCAACCCCUACCCCCUCUUCGCCGGGCCCCGCGUCGCGCGCCGCCGCCUCGCGCUCUCCGGCGCCGCCGACGCGCGGGACGCGCCCCGCCGCGCCUCCGCCACCCACGCGGCCGCGGGCGAGGGCCCCUCCGGCUCCCCCGCCGCCGAGGACCCCGUCCUCCUCGGCGUCAGCGACGACCGCGUGCCCCUCGAGGGCGUCAUCCAGGUCGAGAGGCCCGGCCAGGCCGACGCCCAGUCCAAGCUCGUCUCCUACGCGAAGAUAGGGCUUCUGGCCGGAGGGGAUCUGCUCUGCCUCCUGGUCUUCUCCGCGAUUGGGAGGCUCAGCCAUGGCCUCCCCGUGCUUGACGCCGAGACCUUCAAGACGGCCGACCCGUUCAUUGCUGGUUGGUUGCUUAGCGCCUACCUCCUUGGCGGGUUUGGUGAUGAUGCCAAAGGAAGCAAUGGUGUUGGGAAUGCUGUAACUGUUGCAGCGAAAUCCUGGGCUGUUGGUAUACCGUUAGGAAUUGCCAUUCGUUCAGUGACCGCUGGUCAUAUUCCACAAAUUCCUUUCGUCUUUGUGGCCAUGGGAAGUACCGGGGUCUUGUUGACUGCAUGGCGUGCUCUGAUUUCCCAGGUUCUUUCCGCUGGACAGAGCAAGAAGGAUGAUGUAUACAAAAAGGGAAAUCCUUUUGAGCUUUUUGAGUUGCUCACAUCGCUGGUGCGGAGGUGGUGA